rnacentral:rRNA from 1 species
AUUGAACGCUGGCGGCAUGCCUAACACAUGCAAGUCGAGCGAGCGGCGGACGGGGGAGUAAUGUAUGGGGACUGCCCGCCAGCUGGGGAUAACUCCUGGAAACGGUAGCUAAUACCGCAUACCAUCGGAUACCCCAUAUGGGAUUAGCGAGUAGGUGAGGUAAUGGCCCACCUAGGCCACGAUCCCUAGCUGGUCUGAGAGGAUGAUCAGCCACACUGGGACUGAGACACGGCCCAGACUGCUACGGAGGCAGCAGUGGGGAAUAUUGCAGAAUGGGAGCAAGCCUGAUGCAGCCAUGCCGGGUGUAUGAAGAAGGCCCUAGGGUUGUAAAGUACUUUCAGUCGGGAGGCGUUACCGACAGAAGAAGCACCGGCUAACUCCGUGCCAGCAGCCGCGGUAAUUC